rnacentral:rRNA from 1 species
CCUACGGGGGGCUGCAGUGGGGAAUAUUGGACAAUGGGGGCAACCCUGAUCCAGCCAUGCCGCGGGUGUGAAGAAGGCCCUCGGGUUGUAAAGCACUGUCAGUGAGGAAGAACGCCUGGUGGGUAAGACCCAUCAGGAAAGACAUCACUCACAGAAGAAGCACCGGCUAACUCCGUGCCAGCAGCCGCGGUAAUACGGAGGGUGCGAGCGUUAAUCGGAAUUACUGGGCGUAAAGCGCGCGUAGGUGGCUUGAUAAGCCGGGUGUGAAAGCCCCGGGCUCAACCUGGGAACGGCAUCCGGACCUGUCAAGCUAGAGUGCAGGAGAGGAAGGUAGAAUUCCCGGUGUAGAGGUGAAAUGCGUAGAGAUCGGGAGGAAUACCAGUGGCGAAGGCGGCCUUCUGGACUGACACUGACACUGAGGUGCGAAAGCGUGGGUAGCAAACAGGAUUAGAUACCCGGGUAGUC